GAAAAAUUAGUUAAUUAUAUAAUAUUAAAAUGUCAUUUUAAAGUAAUUAAAAUUUAAUAUUUUUCU
rnacentral:tRNA from 1 species